GGAUGAGGUGCUKCCCAGAUGAUUUGGCGCACGAGUGGCGGACGGGCGAGUACACGCUAGGCUACCUGCCCAGAAGCGGGGGACAACAUUUGGAAACAGAUGCCUAAUACCGCAUAACAGCGUUGCUCGCAUGAACAACGCAUUAAAAGAUGGCAUUCUCGCUUAUCACGUUCUGGAUGGACCAUGCAGGUGCAUUAGCGUUGUUGGUGGGGUAACGGCCUACCAAGGCGAUGAUGCAUAGCCGAGUUGASAGACUGAUCGGCCACUAAUGGGACUGAGACACGGCCCAUACUCCUACGGGAGGCAGCASUAGGGAAUCUUCCACAAUGGGCGCAAGCCUGAUGGAGCAACACCGCGUGAGUGAAGAAGGGUUU
rnacentral:rRNA from 2 species